UACGUAGGUGGCAAGCGUUAUCCGGAUUUAUUGGGCGUAAAGGGAACGCAGGCGGUCUGUUAAGUCAGCGGUCAAAGCCCGGGGCUCAACCCCGGCCCGCCGUUGAAACUGGCAGUCUCGAGUUGGAGAGAAGUAUGCGGAAUGCGCGGUGUAGCGGUGAAAUGCAUAGAUAUCACGCAGAACCCCGAUUGCGAAGGCAGCAUACCGGUGCACAACUGACGCUCAGGCACGAAAGCGUGGGUAUCGAACAGG
rnacentral:rRNA from 1 species